rnacentral:misc_RNA from 1 species
GAUGAAGAACGCAGCGAAAUGCGAUACGUAAUGUGAAUUGCAAAUUCAGUGAAUCAUCGAGUCUUUGAACGCACAUUGCGCCCCCUGGUAUUCCGGGGGGCAUGCCUGUCCGAGCGUCAUUGCUGCCCUCAAGCACGGCUUGUGUGUUGGGCCCCGUCCUCCGAUCCCGGGGGACGGGCCCGAAAGGCAGCGGCGGCACCGCGUCCGGUCCUCGAGCGUAUGGGGCUUUGUCACCCGCUCUGUAGGCCCGGCCGGCGCUUGCCUAUCAACCCAAAUUUUUUAUCCAGGUUGACCUCGGAUCAGGUAGGGAUACCCGCUGAACUUAAGCAUAUCAAUGAGCGGAGGA